GGCAAACUGGGUAUCCUGCAGCUGCUAACUGUGCUUAGCUUUGCAGCAGCGUGAGCCCGAAGCCCGGUGGCCUGACUUUGGGUGGGAGGUCCGGUGGCAGCAGCUCCUUCUGCCCCGGGACCCGGGAGGGGCCGAGGCCACUGAGUCAGCCCCCAACUUUGGAGUUUGCUGGAGGGUGAUUUCCUAAUGCGGAGGGCUCUGUCUGCGGAGUGGGCUCCGAGCUGUGACGUCACAAAACAACCUGGGAAGUGGGGGCUGCAGUGGGGGGACCUGCGGUGGGGACCCCUGGGCUGCCUACAAUGUCCUUGUUUAUUUCCAAUUAAUUUCUUGGUGCGGCUUGCUGUCUGCAAGCCUGCGGGAGAGACACUGUUAUUACGCGAUUCCAUUCCGGGUUUGUUUGAAGGGGAAGCCAGGGCCGCCUCUGGAAGUCUCAGCUUUGAAUAGGCAGAUAGGGAAUUUUGAGAAAGUCGGGUGUUUUCCCCCCUUUCCUGCAUUUUCCCCCAUUUCUCUUUAACCUCUUUUCUCCCGAGACCCUUUCACUGGUGUAAAAGGUGUAAGUGGAGUCUUAAAUGCCCUUCCCCUCCCCUUACACCUCCUCCUCACUUUUUUUUUUUUUUUUUAAUGAAAAUGACAUUUGGCCAGGCAAAGAAGAGGACAGUUUUUGUUUGUUCCUUCCACCUCCCUUAAAUCCCCAGAAGAUCUCACUGCGUCCCUGUUACUAUCUUUAGAACACAAUGUAUUUACAUCCAACCAGGAAGGGAGGCUUGUUUGCUUUCACACUGAGUCCUAGCACUGGAACUUGCUUCUCCCCCAGCAUCCAGAUUGGCUGAAAUGCAAGGGAAGGCCCAGCAGAGCACAGUCUGGACAAGGUUGGUGAGAAGCUGCAGCAAGCCUCUGGUAUAACCAGGGAGCACGGAUUUCCAGGCCAGGACCUUCCCAUGACAAGGCUCUUGAAAAAUGGGGCUCAGAGAAAGGGACAGAGACACAAACACCAUGCAGGAGAUGGUAACAUCUUAAAUCUGUAUCUCAUGAGUGAUUACUGUAUGUUUUUUUUCUUUUUAAGAUUUCUGAGUAUUUGAAAUUUUCAUAAUAAAAUGCUAAGAAAAUAUGGUUCCAUCAAAGCACAAUGAGGCUUCUUCUGCAGAAGGCCAAGGGGCUUCUGUCCAGUGACCCCUGCUGGAAUGUCAGCAUUUUCUAGAGGUGAGAAGGCACAGCAGUUGCCUGGACUCUGCACUCUUCUGGGGACAUCAUCCAGAAGCCAUCUGCCCUACAUGGAGGAUGGCUAAUAAGGAACAAAAAGCCUUUCUCCCCAAAAUCUUGCUGAUGUUCACAUUACAUAAUGUAGAGUUAUGUGUCUGCUGUGUGGUUGGCAGGAGCCUGAUCAUGAUAUGUUGAUAAUACAUGGAGUCUUGCAUGCAAACUUUGUUUAUACGCUGGGCCCUCCCUCUGAGUCUGGGGCAGGUAGCCGGCUGCACAGCCUCCAUCGGAGCCUGGAAGAGUCAGUAUUUUAUGGAUACUCGUGUUUAUUUUGCUGUCUAACUACGGUAGCCAUUGUGAGUUUGGUUAAGGCAAAGCACUGUAAAGACAUGGAGAAAGCAUCCUUUGAUAACAGAGGCAAUUACACUUCCACAUGUACCUACCUGGUCAGAUGGUACCCCCUGUCCACGGAGGGAAGGCCACCCCUGGUCAAAAAGGAGACGCAAGUCCUGAUUUGAUGCUUUAUCGAGUUGCCUAAAAAAAUGUGUUUUCAUGUGAAUGCCCAUGUAAGUAUGGAACCAAGUUUAAUGUCAACUAUGGCUGUUGGUUUCUGAGAACUGAGACCUGGCAUCCCGUCUUUGAAGAAGAUAGCAGAAAGAUGCGUUCCACUCUGUCUCUUCCAAGCCAUCAGAUCCGACUGGGAAAAGAGACCAGCCCUUCUCAAGAAGCCUCCACCAGCCCAGCCAGCAGGGAACUCGGGCCUCAGGUUGAGGCAGGUUUCCACGAGGCAGCCAAAUGUUUGCAAAACAAGCACCAGGAUGAAGAGGCCCGGUCUGCAGACAUCCCAAGGUUGCGACAGUCUUGGAAGAUGUGAGUGAGCUGAUGGAAGCGCCCCGGGGAGCCAAGGCUGAGAGGCAGACCUGCCUGGGAAAAGCCAGGUCCCCUCUGCUCACUGUCCAGACCUGGCGUGCCGAGCGAGGGAGGGCCGACGGCCUGGGAUAAUUGUCCAGUGUUUAUAUUUGAAAAGGGAUACUACACUUCCAGGAUAAUUCUCUCCAGCCUCCUCUGGGGCUAAGAUUUCCAAUUGGUCUAAAACCCUGACGAGAAAUGGGAUGGGGGGUCGGGGGGGGGGGGGGCUGAUUACCUGGCCGACUGGGCUGCAAUCACACCUUUCAAUACUAAUUAUCUGCUUGUUGAGUUCAAUGACAUUGAGCAUCCAGGCUCUGGCUGGGGCGAACCUUGCCCAGUGGCUUGCCUCACCGGCUUAAGACAAUGAUUCGAAUGGACAAAGUACCCGCACUGUGCCUUGAUAAGCAGGAAAUGAAUGCUUGUUUGCAAAUAAGAUUGGGAAAUGUGAUCAGCUUCUUGUUCAGCAUCUGUCUUUCGGUAACUAGCCCGAUAAUACUAAUGUAGAAAUAAUACGUCAAAAGACAACAGCGAGAGAUCUUUUUUUUUUUUUUAUGGCCCUUCCCUUCCCCCUCCUUCAACUUUCUGUACCUGAAGCAAAGGCAGAAGUAAAUGCAAUGUUGUUUUGUGGGCUCCCCCCACCCCCCGAAAGUAUCUGGCUUGAAUGUGUCUUUGUGGAGAUCUGGGGAAAUGAUUUGGUGUGAUACUGUGUCAGUGCGCGGAUUUGUUCAUAUCCAUGGCUUCUCCUAGAUGCCUGUCUUUGAUCUCAGUCUUCUGUGACCCCCCUUUCCCCCAGAAAGCCUUCCUUCAUUAAAUAGAAUAAAAAUUU